CCGCAUCCAGCCGAGGGAUUUCUUCUGACUCCAAGGCCGCUCUGGAGUCGAAGAAGGUCGGGGCAACGUCCAGGCAUCCGGUCCCUUCUGGCCGCACUGACGAGAGGACGGUUGAGACAACACAGAGCCCGGGUGUGUUGUCUUCUACUGAUGAAGAUGAGGAAACUACUGCGAAGGUAAGUGAGGUGAGUAUGGGUAAUGUUGAUGUUGUUAGGGGUUCAGUUCACCAGGGGCACAGUCGGUUUAGGAAUCCGGGAGUUCAGUGUAUGGCGAUAGGGUUGGUUAGUUUGGCCAGACAUAUGGUGUCUAGUGUGUUCAAUUGGAAGACAGAAGAUUUAGAUUUAGCUCUGUGGUUAGGAGA